GACGAACGCUGGCGGCGUGCUUAACACAUGCAAGUCGAACGGAAAGGCCCUGCGUUUGUGGGGUGCUCGAGUGGCGAACGGGUGAGUAACACGUGAGUAACCUGCCCUUGACUUUGGGAUAACUUCAGGAAACUGGGGCUAAUACCGGAUAGGAGCUCCUGCUGCAUGGUGGGGGUUGGAAAGUUUCGGCGGUUGGGGAUGGACUCGCGGCUUAUCAGCUUGUUGGUGGGGUAGUGGCUUACCAAGGCUUUGACGGGUAGCCGGCCUGAGAGGGUGACCGGCCACAUUGGGACUGCGAUACGGCCCAGACUCCUACGGGACGCAGCAGUGGGGAAUAUUGCACAAUGGGCGGAAGCCUGAUGCAGCAACGCCGCGUGCGGGAUGACGGCCUUCGGGUUGUAAACCGCUUUCGCCUGUGACGAAGCGUGAGUGACGGUAAUGGGUAAAGAAGCACCGGCUAACUACGUG
rnacentral:rRNA from 1 species